CUCUUUGGUGUGAGAGAGUUAACUGGGAAAGGUUGUGAUUUGGUAUAGGCUUGAAGCCUCUCUUGGGAAGUGGCAGAAGAAUGGAUCCUGUAGACUUAAAGGUUUUUAAAAAAAGCUUUUCCUUCCUUGACUGCGAAGGCGUACUCUCAGCAUGUUUCCCCCAGAGCACGUCAGGAAGGCAGUUUUCAUGCAUAGGUUGAAAGGAAGAAAUUCUCAUGUGAUGCUUAGUGUCCGUGCUGCUCUCCUGGGGGUCAUGAGCAACGUGACUGAUGGCCUUGGCUGACUGCAAUUGACACCAAGGGAUCUUUUCUGAAUGAGUGCAGCUUGCGCUACGUCUCCUGUGCUCCACCUGUAGCUGUCCCUACAGGCUAUGGGAACGGUCCCUGGCACGAGGUAGUCCUGGGACUGCGCCCUCGCAGCCUGGGGAACUGUGACUUGGCGCCAGCCAGCAAGGGGCCAGGGAGCAAGCAAGUGGUCAAGCAAAUGGCUGACCAGCUGGCCAGUGCCUGAGCUCAUUUCCUGAACAUAUUUUAAUUAGGACUGUAGCUGAGACCACUGAGAUCCCCUGCUCGCUCUGCGCUUGAAUUGAUGAGCACAGCUUAUUGCUCUGAGUCUUUGCACCCCAAAGUACCCGGUUACAAAUGAU